rnacentral:rRNA from 1 species
AUGACACCAGACAAGGAGGCGAGAGAGGUGUUUGAUGCGUUGGUCAGUAUAAAGGUGGGUUCGGGCGACAAGGUUCUCUUCUGGAAGGACAAGUGGAUCCAUGGAGUUGCGGUUGCGGAGAUUGCACCAAUGAUUGUGGCCACCGUCCCAACGAGGAUAGCCAAUAGACGUACGAUGCACCAAGCCUUAGAAGAUGGCAGUUGGACACAUGACUUCGAGCAGAGCACCUCCUUCACCUCCCUAAUGCAGUGCAUGCAUCUUUGCCAUGCAAUUGGAACGCUGGACCGAGAUCCAUCACUGUCGGAAAGUUUCACUUGGCCAAUAUCACCGUCCGGCACCUACACGGCUAAAUCGGUCUAUGACUACCUAUGCUCUGAACUAUCUAGAUCUCCCACGGCAGAAUGUAACUGGAGGAGCUGGGCACCACUCAAAUGCAAACUGUUCGUGUGGCUAGCCCUGCAGGACAGAGUAUGGACGUCGGACAGGAGAGCCAGACAUGGCUUACAGGAUCAGCCGUCUGCAUGCUACACGUGCUUGCAGGCAAAAGACAACGUGGAUCACAUCCUGGCGAACUUCACGUAUGCGCAGGAAGUGUGGCACAAGGUGUUUAAUCUCAUUCCGAUUGAGGUGCAGGGCCCGGUGGAGUCGGACGUGUUCAAGGAUUGGUGGCUGGCAGUGCGAAUGAGAUUCAGAGGACAGGACCGCAGAGGGUUUGACACUUUGGUGACGGCAGUGGCUUGGGCUCUCUGGAAGCAAAGGAGCGCUAGAGUCUUCAACAGGAUCAGCGAGCAGAUGAACGCAAGCGAGUUACCAUUCAGGAUUUUGGAAGAGAUUGCUGAGUGGAGGCAGGCUGGGGUGGGAAUAGGAGGUCUACAACGUUUUGUGAGAAGUUAG